rnacentral:rRNA from 1 species
GACGAACGCUGGCGGCGUGCCUAAUACAUGCAAGUCGAACGCAGUGGGGACGGGUGAGUAACACGUUGGUAACCUCCCAUCAGAGGGGAUAACACUUGGAAACAGGUGCUAAACCGAUACUGAUGGAUGGCCCCGCGGUGCAUUAUCAAGUGGGUGAUGUAACGGCUCACCAAUGCCACGAUGCAUAGCCGACCGGCGCUGGUGAUCGGCCACACUGGGACUGAGACACGGCCCAGACUCCUACGGGAGGCAGCAGUAGGGAAUCUGCGGCAAUGGACGAAAGUCGUACCGAGCAACGCCGCGUGAGUGAAGAAGGUUUUCGGAUCGUAAAACUCUGUUGUUAGAGAAGCGGUAUCUAACCAGAAAGCCACGGCUAACUACGUGCCAGCAGCCGCGGUAAUAC